CGGAAGAGGAGGACAGUGAAAUCACAAAAUCCUUGCAGAAGAGGAGCUACUUGGAACCAGAGCUGUCUGUUUCUGACACCUUCUUAAGCCCGUGUUCUCCAACAAUCCAGAGACAAUCCUGUGGAUUUGCUCUGAGGAUUUCACCCCAGUUAUCCACUCUCUUUAGCGAUGAGCCUGGGAGUACCUGUGUGAUGUUGACAAUCUGUUGAAAUGAAGAUGAAAGUCUAAACUGAACAAAUAAUUAGAAACACUGGAACAGAUGAAUCAGACUCCAGAUAAUAAAAAAGAUGAGAGAAAGGACA
rnacentral:lncRNA from 1 species